GGUUUUAACAGGGUCAGCAACAAAACCUACCUUAUAGGGUUGUAAGGAUAAUUAAAUCUUAAUAUAUGUAAAGUAUGAUGACCGCUACCUGGCAUGGAGAGGAUAUCAACAGAAAGAUUUUAUCCAAUCUCAUCACAACUGCCACCUGGCUGACAGUGAUUAUAAGAUGUCAUCAACUGUGCUGAUGGCCACCCGCUGGAAAACAGGAGCCAACUGACCCCGAAAAUCAGCCCCCACCCGGCUGAAAGACAGCCCAAAGUACAUGCACUGGCCCAGCAGAGAGUCCAGGCGGCCACCUAUCCCCUGGU